UCCUGGGGUGGGGGAGGCAGGUGUCACGACGCUGACUCCUUGCCCAGGGCAGCCCUGUACACUCCCUGCUGACCCCCAGCCCACCCACACUGUCACCUUCUCCAGGUCCUCCUGCAGCUUCCUGAGUGUGGCCUCCAGGGUCUCACUGCCUGCCUCCGACAUGACUGUGGACACAAGGAGGUGGCUCAGCCAGGGAAGCCCAAGCCAGCCGCUCUGAGCCCCACCCCCACCCCCACCCACCUUGCCCUAGACUCACUUUUGCUGAUGGAGUUCCGCAGAGACAAGGUUCGUGGCAGGAAGGAGGCUCUCAGCUCUGGGGCCGGGUCGACCCUGUCCUCACCACCAGUGGGGCUGCUAGGCCCAUCCUGGGGGGGUGUGAAUGGGUAUGGAUGCACAGACGUCCACCACCACCAUUGUGCCCAGCCCCGUGCUUCAGGCUCCAGAGCCUUGUUUCUGCUCACCUGGGUGGGGGGUGUCUGUCUGCCAGUACUGGGUGCUGCCGGCUUGGCCGUGGUGGCCAGGAGGAGGUCCGGGGUGGUGUUGGGCAGGACCGGGGCCUCGUCUGACAGGGAACUGGGGAGAGCAGGGACAGCUCAGCAAGGGAAGCUGCACCCCACGGCCCCUGCUUUCAGGACCACACCGGUCCAGCCUCACUGCGCCUAGACAGGAGGGAAGGCCGAGAGGGGGCACCUGCGGGGGGACGGUGAGUGCUGGCUGUGCAGGAACUCAGUCCUCUCUUCGGCCAGAUCCCCAGGCCCUGUGGGACUGCCACCAUCGUGCAGGCACAAUUGCAGCAGCUGCUUCGUGGUGGGCAGCAGGGUCACCACCCCUGGGGCCUCCUCCUGCACCGGCUCGGGGGGCCCCCGCCGGCUGGGCUCCUGCAGAGAUAGCGUGUACAGCUCCGAAAAGCUCCUGCAGGGAGGAGUGGGCAGUGUCAGGCAGGAACGGCCCGUCCCCCGGGUCCUCCAUCUCCAACCCCACUCCCAGCUGUCCCUGAGGCUCACUUCCAGGAGGAGAGCUCUCCAAACUCCCUAACAAUGAAAACUGUUUGCCUGACUGCUGGCCAUUUUUCCGGCCCCAGUGCUGCCCCUGCGUAUCCCGGGCAACUUGCUCGGAACACCAGUCUCUCCAUCUGUGAAAUGGGGUUAACAGUCCUGGUCCACAGCUUGCUGUGAGGCUUUAAAUACUAACACAAGUAAAUCACUUAGCGUGGAGAUCUAAAACCUACUGCUCGUGAACCAAAUCCAACCCGUGUGCCUUUUUCUGUUUCAGCAGAUGUGACUGUUCUUGUACUCCUGUGUGAGAGUGGGUUUUACAUUGUCAAACCAUUGAAAGAAAUCCAAAGAAUAUUUCAUGGCACGUGAAAAUCAAGAAAAUUCGAAUUUCAGUGCCCACAAAGUUUUAGUGGAAUAAAGAAAACUCAUGCAUUUACCAAUCGUCUACGGAUGCUUUUGUGCUACAGCAGAGCUAUGUACCUGUAGCAGAGACCAGAUGGCCCAGAAAACCUAAAUAUUUAUUAUCUGGCCCUUUACAGAAAAAGUUCGCAUAUCCUGGCUAAGACAGCAAUUAAUCAAUAGCA